GUCGCGGCGCGUCGUAGCGUAUUUCAAUUCGCAUCCUCGUCGUCCCGUACUAGUAUUUGACUCGAGUGAGUGUUUUGAGAGUACCGAAAAUGUAGUGAAGUACCGGACGCUCGGGACAACUGCGAACCAGGACGAAUCGCGAUGUGCCUGUGCCAGUCGUGAUGUAACUCGCAUCUUCGUUGUCCCGCGUUUCGAAACGUUGUUUCUUCAUCGCGUAACAGAUGCCUCGCGUGGUUUAUGUAUAACAUAUUCUCUGUACCGGGAUUGAAACGAUGGGAGGAGUAUUAAAUUAAGGUUUCAUCGAAUUGAGGGUCUGGAUUGUCGCCGAGGACGCGGACAGGAGUAAUACGUGACUCAGAACACGUGCUGUAUACGUAACGAAAUACACGGAUCGUGUCAAAUUAAUGUACGAAGAAGGGGGAUAAUAACGUAUCGGCCGUUUAAUUGCUGGAGUUGUAUCAAAUUGUUGCAAGCGGCCUCGAAUAUAUUAUUUCUGGACGAUACGCUCGAUUGGAGUCAACGGCUGCCGACUCGACUCGCGUUGUACCCGCGCGCGGCAUCGGUAUGAAGUUGUCGAUGUUCAAAUGUUUCGUCAUCUUGUCGAAAAACCGCCAUAACGCAUCGGUUGUUUCGUUUCGGCAGUAUUUAAUCGCAAGUGUCGUAUCAUAGCAAUGAGUUCGGUCGCGUUUUCGCGAGUGCGUGAUCUUGUGCAUGCGGCGAAGGAAGCGCGAGAUGACGACGAAGUCCGAGACUCAUCAAAUUCAUUGGCAGGGCAGCUUUAAUUAAGGUUAUUUUCAGGACAUUGGAAUGUUCAGUGGUGAUUAUCGUAACAAUGAGUUCGAUCGAGUUUUCGCCUUGCGCGAGUUGCGAGUGUUGCCUUGCAAGUGUACAACGAGGGCGUGUGAGAUGACGACGAAACCUGGGAAAGCCUCUUUCGGUGCAUGGGUCAGUUUGAGUGGGCAUUGAGUGGACUUGAAAUGACUACAGCCUGCGUUUUCACGAAUACAGUGUUAUGGAAUUGACAAUGCAGACAGGCUGAAGGCAGGCAUCGGGCGCCAGCGGAGCAACUUUGAGAGUCAACGUAGCUACGUAGCAGAUAUAACUCCGCUGUUGCGCAUCGAGUUUGUG
rnacentral:lncRNA from 13 species